rnacentral:rRNA from 1 species
UACAGAGGGGGGCAAGCGUUGUUCGGAAUUACUGGGCGUAAAGGGCGCGUAGGCGGCCGCCUAAGUCAGACGUGAAAUCCCUCGGCUCAACCGGGGAACUGCGUCUGAUACUGGGUGGCUUGAAUCCGGGAGAGGGAUGCGGAAUUCCAGGUGUAGCGGUGAAAUGCGUAGAUAUCUGGAGGAACACCGGUGGCGAAGGCGGCAUCCUGGACCGGCAUUGACGCUGAGGCGCGAAAGCCAGGGGAGCAAACGGG